GGGCCCGCACAAGCGGUGGAGUAUGUGGUUUAAUUCGAAGAUACGCGCAGAACCUUACCUACUCUUGACAUCCAGAGAAGCCAGCGGAGACGCAGGUGUGCCUUCGGGAACUCUGAGACAGGUGCUGCAUGGCUGUCGUCAGCUCGUGUUGUGAAAUGUUGGUUAAGUCCCGCAACGAGCGCAACCCUUAUCCUUGUUUGCCAGCACGUAAUGGUGGGAACUCCAGGGAGACUGCCGGUGAUAAACCGGAGGAAGGUGGGGACGACGUCAAGUCAUCAUGGCCCUUACGAGUAGGGCUACACACGUGCUACAAUGGCGCAUACAGAGGGCAGCCAACUUGCGAGAGUGAG
rnacentral:rRNA from 1 species